rnacentral:rRNA from 1 species
UACGUAGGGUGCGAGCGUUAAUCGGAAUUACUGGGCGUAAAGCGUGCGCAGGCGGUUUUGUAAGUCAGAUGUGAAAUCCCCGAGCUCAACUUGGGAACUGCGUUUGAAACUACAAGACUAGAGUAGGUCAGAGGGGGGUAGAAUUCCACGUGUAGCAGUGAAAUGCGUAGAGAUGUGGAGGAAUACCAAUGGCGAAGGCAGCCCCCUGGGCCUGAAUUGACACUGAAGCACGAAAGCGUGGGGAGCAAACAGG